UUCAGCUUAAUGAAAUACAAAAUCUGAAAAGGAGGAUUGCAGAAUUGGAAGGCAAGGAAACUCGUAUUGACAUGGAGAAGAUUGCCAAGAAAAAGGAGAUUCAAGGAAAGUACAAGGCAGAAAUUGAAAGCUUGUUGUCAGACCCAACAAUCUUUGAAAUGGAGAUGGAUCUGCCUACAAAACAACCAACACAACCAGUUGAAGAGAAAGAAGAAGAAAAGAAAGAAGAAGAGAAGCAACAAGAAGAGAGAGAAGAAGAGAAGAAGCAAGAUGCUCCAGCACCUGAUGUUCCUUCAAGAGUACAAAGGGUGAAGAACAGAGAAAGAAAGAGGCUUCAAGCAUCUUGCUAUGUGUACGAAAAAAAUAAGAAAACAAAAAAGGAGGCAAAAAAGGAUGAUGAAGAACUACCACAAUUCAAGCUUAUCUCUUCCGAGGAGUUAACACAAGAGGCAUCUCAGCCCGAUGCCACAAAUCCAAUUCCUGAUCCCCCAAAAGGAACGAGCCUUCAUGAUUCAAUACCUGUGGAUCUGCAACAAUCAAGUGAUGAAGAUGAAGGACAAAAAAAGCCAACAAAGAAAAAACUAGGAUGGGGUCAGAGGAAGGUGUGGCAGAAAAUUCCAAAGGCGGACAGGGAAAGAAUUGAAAAACACUACUUAAGUACUCAACUUCGGUAAUAUCUCUAUUCCAAAAUAACAAUUCUUUCAUCUUUUAAUUACAAUUAAACUAAAACUAAUCUUGUGAAUUUCAUGUAUUCGAAUCCGCAGUGAUAUCUUUUGGGCAGGACUCAAUGAUGAGAAAGUGACAAACCAUGAUCUCAAAGAUAUUGUAUGGGACCUGGAACUGUCACAAAACGUUAUUGAGGCCUAUAUCCAAAUAGAGGAGGAUAAAAUAGAGCUCAUGCAGACAGAGAGUCCACAGUACAUGUCCACAUGGACUUGGGCUUACAUGCAAAGCUUCCAAGAGCCAUCUUGGCACAGGUUCCUGUAUGAACACUUACUUGAAAAACUCGGGAAAUGCAGUGUUCUUUUCUUCCCGAUUAUUUCACAAGAAGAGUUCCACUUCACACUUCUCACAUUUCACAAAAAUGAACGAAAGUGGAGACACUACAAUCCACUUAGAUCGUUGGGACGUAGAAAAGAAGAAAGGUGCAUUGACAUUGCUCGAAACUUUGUUAAUAUUGUUGAAGGGUGGCUAGAAUAUAUAAGACCUCAAGCACGAGUGUUCAUAGAAACUAAAAAAAAACCAACACUUGUGAAGCAAAAGGAAGGGCCCCCGACACUUGUACAAAAAGAUUUGACUCCAACUGAAGAACUCACUCUCAAAUAGAUUAUGCAAAAUCCAUUGCAGUUUCCAUUUGAGGAUGACAUGGAAUGUGCUCAACAAAGUGCAUCUUCGUAAGAAUUGUGUCUACUCAACUAUUCAUUACAGUUUGAAAUCAUUCAAAAGCAAAAAAAACUAAUCUCGUAUUUCAUUUGCAGAUUGGAUUGCGGCAUGUUCGUCAUGUUCUAUAUGGAUAAAAUAGCACAAGGACAGCCCAUUCCAAAAAGCGUGGACAAGAAAUUCAUGAAUGAAUAUCGAGCACAAUAUGUCACAAAACUCCUACACCACAAAAACUGUGUAAUUAAUCGUCUCUAGUGAUUUGCCUUUCGUUAACUCAAGACAAUAUGUAUCUUAAUUCUUGUGGAUGUUUGUAAAUAUUUCUAGUUAUGGUAUAUGAGAACAUAUUUCCUAUA